rnacentral:rRNA from 1 species
GACGAACGCUGGCGGCGUGCUUAACACAUGCAAGUCGAACGGAAAGGCCCUGCUUUUGUGGGGUGCUCGAGUGGCGAACGGGUGAGUAACACGUGAGUAACCUGCCCUUGACUUUGGGAUAACUUCAGGAAACUGGGGCUAAUACCGGAUAGGAGCUCCUGCUGCAUGGUGGGGGUUGGAAAGUUUCGGCGGUUGGGGAUGGACUCGCGGCUUAUCAGCUUGUUGGUGGGGUAGUGGCUUACCAAGGCUUUGACGGGUAGCCGGCCUGAGAGGGUGACCGGCCACAUUGGGACUGAGAUACGGCCCAGACUCCUACGGGAGGCAGCAGUGGGGAAUAUUGCACAAUGGGCGGAAGCCUGAUGCAGCAACGCCGCGUGCGGGAUGACGGCCUUCGGGUUGUAAACCGCUUUCGCCUGUGACGAAGCGUGAGUGACGGUAAUGGGUAAAGAAGCACCGGCUAACUACGUGCCAGCAGCCGCGGUGAUACGUAGGGUGCGAGCGUUGUCCGGAUUUAUUGGGCGUAAAGGGCUCGUAGGUGGUUGAUCGCGUCGGAAGUGUAAUCUUGGGGCUUAACCCUGAGCGUGCUUUCGAUACGGGUUGACUUGAGGAAGGUAGGGGAGAAUGGAAUUCCUGGUGGAGCGGUGGAAUGCGCAGAUAUCAGGAGGAACACCAGUGGCGAAGGCGGUUCUCUGGGCCUUUCCUGACGCUGAGGAGCGAAAGCGUGGGGAGCGAACAGGCUUAGAUACCCUGGUAGUCCACGCUGUAAACGGUGGGUACUAGGUGUGGGGUCCAUUCCACGGGUUCCGUGCCGUAGCUAACGCUUUAAGUACCCCGCCUGGGGAGUACGGCCGCAAGGCUAAAACCCAAAGGAAUUGACGGGGCCCCGCACAAGCGGCGGAGCAUGCGGAUUAAUUCGAUGCAACGCGUAGAACCUUACCUGGGUUUGACAUGGAUCGGGAGUGCUCAGAGAUGGGUGUGCCUCUUUUGGGGUCGGUUCACAGGUGGUGCAUGGCUGUCGUCAGCUCGUGUCGUGAGAUGUUGGGUUAAGUCCCGCAACGAGCGCAACCCUUGUUCACUGUUGCCAGCACGUUAUGGUGGGGACUCAGUGGAGACCGCCGGGGUCAACUCGGAGGAAGGUGGGGAUGACGUCAAGUCAUCAUGCCCCUUAUGUCCAGGGCUUCACGCAUGCUACAAUGGCUGGUACAGAGAGUGGCGAGUCUGUGAGGGUGAGCGAAUCUCGGAAAGCCGGUCUCAGUUCGGAUUGGGGUCUGCAACUCGACCUCAUGAAGUCGGAGUCGCUAGUAAUCGCAGAUCAGCAACGCUGCGGUGAAUACGUUCCCGGGGCU